CGUUUAUUUGAUAGUACCUUACUACUUGGACAACCGUGGUAAUUCUAGAGCUAAUACAUGCUAAAAACCCCGACUCCGGGAGGGGUGUAUUUAUUAGAUAAAAAACCAAUGCCCUCCGGGGCUCUUUGGUGAUUCAUGAUAACUUAACGGAUCGCAUGGCCUUGCGCCGGCGACGGUUCAUUCAAAUUUCUGCCCUAUCAACUUUCGAUGGUAAGGUAUUGGCUUACCAUGGUCUCAACGGGUAACGGGAGAUUAGGGUUUGACUCCGGAGAGGGAGCCUGAGAAACGGCUACCACAUCCAAGGAAGGCAGCAGGCGCGCAAAUUACCCAAUCCCGACGCGGGGAGGUAGUGACAAUAAAUACUGAUACAGGGCUCUUUUGGGUCUUGUAAUUGGAAUGAGUACAAUUUAAACCCCUUAACGAGGAACAAUUGGAGGGCAAGUCUGGUGCCAGCAGCCGCGGUAAUUCCAGCUCCAAUAGCGUAUAUUAAAGUUGUUGCAGUUAAAAAGCUCGUAGUUGAAACUUGGGCCUGGCUGGCCGGUCCGCCUCACCGCGUGCACUGGCCCGGCCGGGCCUUUCCUCCUGGAGAGCCGCAUGCCCUUCACUGGGUGUGCCGGGGAACCAGGACUUUUACUUUGAAAAAAUUAGAGUGUUCAAAGCAGGCCUUUGCUCGAAUACGUUAGCAUGGAAUAAUAGAAUAGGACGUGCGGUUCUAUUUUGUUGGUUUCUAGGACCGCCGUAAUGAUUAAUAGGGAUAGUCGGGGGCAUCCGUAUUCAAUUGUCAGAGGUGAAAUUCUUGGAUUUAUUGAAGACGAACUACUGCGAAAGCAUUUGCCAAGGAUGUUUUCAUUAAUCAGUGAACGAAAGUUAGGGGAUCGAAGACGAUCAGAUACCGUCGUAGUCUUAACCGUAAACUAUGCCGACUAGGGAUCGGGCGAUGUUACUAUUCUGAC
rnacentral:rRNA from 1 species